rnacentral:rRNA from 1 species
AUGUUUCGCAUGGAUACAAGCUCUUCGAUUACAUGUUGGAACGUGCGAGGUUUGAACAAUCCGGCGAAAAAGAAGGCGGUGAGGGAGUUCAUCUCCGCAAUCAAGUGUAAUAUGGUGUGUCUCCAGGAGACGACACUUGAUGUUGUAAACCAAUUUACUAUCAUGCAAUGUAUUGGACCAUCAUAUGAUGGCUUUGCUUACCUCCCGGCGAUUGAUACUCGUGGAGGUGUGGUUUUGUCUUGGGACUCGACCGUGGUGCAGGUGGAUCAUGUUGUCUUGGACACACAUGCUCUCACCGGACUGGUUCAUAACCUAGACGGGAGCCAGUGGUGGAUCAUAGUGGUGUAUGGUCCACAAGGAGAUGAGCAGAAGCUGGAGUUUUUGCAGGAGUUACGGUUACGAAGAACGGCAUGCCCCGGCCCCUGGAUGCUUCUGGGUGAUUUCAACAUGAUUCUUAGAGCUUCGGAGAAAAAUAACACCAACAUUAACAGGCGCACGUGA